CCUUUAGUCCUCCUGGGCCGGUGUGGAACUGUUUGUCCUGCUAGCAGUCUUUGUUGUGGGUUAGCCCUCCUUUGUUGGGAGUGCUGGGUGCUGGGGGUUGAUGCAUGUGGGACACCUAGCAUGUUCAUAGAUUUUCACCUCCUAGUUUCAUGCUUAGGCAUGGUGUAGAAAUUCCAUGUGGUACACAUUUUGUGAGCCUGUAAUAAUGGCAUUCCUGUCCAAGGGCACAAAGUGGAAAAAAAUAUGGGAGGAAGUCCUAAGAGAAGCUCAGUGGACAGAGAUAUGCAGGUGGUGGUGUGGGGAUGACUUCCUAUGUGCCUCUGUGGUGGAAUAACUUCAGCAUGGAGAGGAACCAGGGUCUGUAUCAAGGGAGUUCAGAUCAUGGGUGGCUUAGGCAGGGGUUCUGGUGGGAGGGGACAGAAAUCUGUCAGCAAAUGAAGUCCAUCAGCCCAGAGCUGCUGAGCUGAAAGGGAAGAAGGAAGCCUUGGGGCUGAAUAUGACCAUCUUCUAGCAUUGGGGCUGAUGGCUGGGAAACUGAGGAAUGAGAGACUUCUGAGGCAAGACCUCUGUGCCAGUGGAGCAACAUGCUUUGGCAGGGGCAUGUUUGUGCUCCCAAGAGGGAGGGGUCUUGCAGUUUGGGAACAUUUUUCUGUCAUUCAGGGAGGAAAAGGGUAUAUAAUUUUGAUCUGGUAAUAAACCAGUUCCUUAGCUGAUCUGAGCACCACAAAUGAAACUGCAGUUUCAUUGCCAUGGGCAGAAGGUACAAGCAGCUCCUUCAAAAAUAUCCUUGCUUUCACGCUGGGGUAAUCAGGAUGACUGCCACACUGGGUCUGCUCUACCAUGCCAGAGCAUUUUUCCUUGGAGCCACUGUCCCCCAGAGUGGUGGCUGUUCCAACACCAGCACUGUGUAACCUGAUAUUGCUUCCACUGGGCACACACCCUCCCUUUUUGGCCUUUUCCCCCAAGAGAAGAUCCCUGUUCAGCCAAGCUGGUGUGCUGCCUCAUCUGCUUGACUUUGGAAUUGCCGGCUACCAUGCCCUUAGGAGGUGAUGUUUAAAAAGUUUAAAUGUUUAAAUUACACCAUUUGGGAAUGUUACUCUUGGAGUGUGGCAUCUCACUGGCCAGAGCUGGUUGCCUGAUUGUGCAUCUGUGGCAGAAGCACUUUUCAGUGUUUCCUGAGGAGCCCCAUGUCUCCUCCCUGGCAGGGUCUCAGUCUCUGCUGCUUUUAAUGCCUCCUGGGAUGCCAUAGCUGCCAAAAGGGAGAAAUCCAGUCAAAAUUUGACUCAAGGCUUGCCCUUGGUCCCAGCUGACCUUCUGACCCUGGAGUCUUCCUUCCACACCUUUGGCUGCCUCUCUUGCACGUGGUUCUCCUGCCUUCUCCUUGCAGGUGUUUGGGCAGGGAAGAUUGUGCCUGAAGGCUGGGCAGGAUGCAGUUUGUCUUUCCAUUCCCCUUCCUGGGGACAUUUUACAGGUAUGUAAAAUUUUACAGACUGCCUCUUGGGCUUGCAAUGCCCAAGUCUGAUGAUGGAGUGGUUGGGGAGGAUAAGUCUGAUGGGGAUGAGGUGAUCAGGGGAAUGAUCAUCAACAUGUCUCAUGGAGAAAGAAUGGGAAGGGGGAGGAGAAAGAGAGCAAGGCUUCUAGUUGUGUGUGCCUGGAGGUAGGAGAGACUGGAUGGAGUGUUUGGGCCGCUGGGUCCUGUUUUCUGUGGGUGGGAAAGGAAAGCAUGUUCCAGGAGCCAGCUUCUACUAAAUUCCUGUGUGACCCUUGCUUCCUGGAAUUGUUUCCUGAAAUGGACAUAAUUUUUUCAUGCAUUAAAAAGGUUUAUGUGGUUUUAAAGUGGAAUUAACUGCUCUGCAGUUCUUGAUUUCUCAUUGUGCAGUUAAAGAAAACACUCAGCAGUUUAGUAAUAUCAAUAUUAAGGAAAGCAUGACAUGAACUGGGACUUUGCAAAAUUUUUUGCUGAUUUUACCCUCCUGAUUUAAAAGUAAACUACUACACAUAUGAUUCUGUGGGAUAAUACUCCAGUCUGGCUAUAAAACACAGAAACAAAACAUUAAGAGCUGGGAUAUUUAUUUAUUUGUUUGUUAAACUUCCUCUAAGCAAUGCCAAUUCCGGGAAAGCCUAAAAGAAUGCGAUCUGUUACAUUUCUCCCCUUGGGUAUGGUACACAAUAUCUAGGAAUGAAAUCUGCAGCUGGGAGAGGAAGUGCCAAGCCUGCAAAAACAUUUAAAGAGACAUUCUUUAUUAAUCUCCUCUUUGGCAGGCAUACUCUUACUGGUCAUAACACUGCAAUAUACUCAACUGUACCGUGCUUAAACUGUACUUGAACUCUACUUAACUGGACUGCCUGUCCCACAGAAGACAACUACAGCUGUAAUGGUCUGUGCCUAGACUGAGAGGCUGGGAGAAGGGGACUCCCUUUUAUGCAUCUCUCCCUGCAUACUGUGGGUGGCUGAUACAUCUGUUUUCUCAAGAGCUGGAUCCCCAGUGCCGUGGCUGGUGUGACAGCACAGUCACUGAUGGCAGGUGAGGACCCGGUGUCCUCGAGUGCCCAAAUCAGUGCUGCAGGCCAGGCCUUGGGCUUUCUCUGUCAGCAUGACCUGACAGACCUGACCCAGCAGAUGUGUCUCACAGCUGGACAUGGGCCAGCUUAGCUGCAGCUGGCUUUAGGGCUGCACUGCCAGCACCUCCCCUCGCAGAACCACUGGGUGAGAGCCAUGAUCAGCAGGUGAGAUGGCAGGUCUGACAGUGUAUGGGAGGGUUUGUCCCUUGAGAAACAAAGAAUAUUUACAGCAUUUUUAACAACCUUUUACUCUGAGCAAAGAGGUGCCUUUACAGUUGAUAUUGAAUUUCAUUAAUAACAUUUAGCCCAAUGAGCAUAUUAUUACAAAUGCAUGUACCCUACUGUCAAUAGGAGAAAAUACUUUUAACCUCUCUGGAAUUUGCCUUGGGUUUAUUUUUUCUCCAGUGAGAUUGUUGUCAAUCAGUAAAUCAUAGUGUAGUAACGUGAUGAAGACAGUUCAAUUACAGAAAAACGAGCUCUUCCAAAUGCUGAGGUUGAAGGAAAUCCAGCCAAAGAUCUCCGUACUUCUCUUUGUGGAACAAACUCUUUACUGAGGUUUGAGGUUAUAGAAAAAUGGCUUAUUGGUAUUUAAAGAAUUAAACAAACUUGUAAAGUUUACCUUUUUUCACUGGCUCAGGUACCUGAAAUAUCUUGGUGCAAUAUCAGUGUCUUGAGUCUGUGAAACAGAGUAGUGCCUUGAAUUUCUGAAAAAAGAAUAGAAACAGGGAUGAAUUAUUAUGACUAACAAGUUCCAAAAGACUGGCUGACAAAAAGGUGUUAUUUGUCUGGACUGUUCAGGGAGAGUACACCAUGCUGGGACAGGGGAAUCUUGGUAAGAGUUCAAUAGCUAAUGGGAAAACAGUUACCAUGUAAAGGCUGGUAUUUUUCUUUUGGUGACAAAAUUGUUUGUGUAAAGUUACAGUGAUUAAAUUAUAUUCUCAUAUAUCUGUCUCUGGUCAGAAAAAAAAAAAUCCAAACUGCCACAGCGUGUUCGUCCUGGAAUGAAAAAUAUGGGUAUUUUUGCUUUUAUGACUUCUGUUCUUAGCCAUGCUGUGAAAAUGUUCUCCUAAUAUUUUAGGGUUUGGUUUUUUUUGGGGUGUCUUGGUAAGCAUUUUGAUUCAUAAGAGAAUAUUAAAGUUACAAAUUGAAAAAAAAACCUAAUAAACCAAACAAACAAUUGCAAAUAAACCUGAUAAUCACAAUGCCAGAAGGAGUACACAUAAGAAAGCUACUCAAGGUUGAAUCCCUUAUGCUGUUCUUUUCAGCAAAUAUUUAUGAACCUGGAUACAAACAUAUAAUAUUGACAAGGGAGCUCACUUCCUUCUCAGUAUGGCUUGUUUAUUUUUAGUCUGGGAACUGGACAGCUAUGCUUUCUCAGUUGCAUUAAUUGCCACUGUUCUGUUUUUCAUGUGUUUGGGCUCCUGAAAAGAAGAAUUGGCAUAAAAUGCAAAAAGUCGAGAAAUACUGGUCUACCUCUUGAACCAAUGAAAACACUAACAAAGCAGUCAGCAUUAUAGAGUUUAUGUACAUAAAAAGAAUAUCAUCCAUUGAAAUACCAAUAUGACUUCUUUCCAAAUAACAGUUUACUUUCUCUAGGCAACAAUAACAGUGCUCCCGUGUUACAUCUUGAUGCCAUACAGUUUUCUAGGCUGAACAUCAGCAAAGUGUCACUGAGGGCUGUGUACAGCUCCAGCAUGAAUUUCUGUCAAAAAUUCUACUGCAGCUGUUAUAUUCCUUGAUAUUCACAUUUUUUUUCCAAAAGCCUUUAACAACUUUCAUCAAGAUCAACAGCAGAAAUUUUGUUUAGUCUUUUGAUCUAAUAAACUUACUUCACCACUGAACUAGAUCCACAUGGGGAAAUGCACAUACAUAAUCAUGAGAAGAUGUUUCUUGAAGGGAUCAUGAUCAAUUUGAUAAACUGUUGUUACUUGCUUUACAUAGAAACAGCAUCACCCUGACAUGUUUUGCUUUUGGUACACAUCCAGCAAAAUAACUUUAUUCAUUGCAUGAAAGAUGUAUGAAUGCAAUCCAUGCAAUUUCAUUGCAUGAAAUAUGUCCUUGCUUGUAUUUUAGCACCAAAAUGACAGAACAGGACCUAGUGAAGCUCGACCUAACAAAUAGUUCUGCAAUGUAUACUGGUGUUUAUAGGUCUUGGCAAGUAUAGCCUCACAGGGUCACGCUCUUAGGUGGCCAAAGUGGUGUUCAGUCCUGAACAUCUCCUCCUCUGCUAAAUUUUUCUUUUUUCUGUUGUUUAUUUACAGUAUUUAUGUCAUAAACAGGAAGCAACAAUUUCCAGGAACUAUUAUUGUUGGCUAAAUUUCAUCCCAAGCUUUCUAAAAGUAAUUUACUCACAGGAGUUUGCUUUGCAUAUCUGUGGGAAACCUCUUGUGUAAUAGUAUGUCAAUCACAAGCACGAAAGAAACAAACACCAAGUAAACAAGGAGAAAAACAUGCUUCAACACUUUUUAUCUCGGGAAAACAAGUAAAUAUAGGUUACAGAAAAAUAAAAUGUGUCUUUGUCCUCCUGUGAAAUCACUCUUUUGAAUCUGAGUGAUUUAAAUACAUUUGUCUAUGAGCUUAGAUGUAGGCAAUGGGCCCUUAGUGACACUGUGAUGGCUCUUCUGCAUGUGUGAGAGGAGGACACAGCUCCUGAGCACUCUGAACCAGGUGUUACCAGGCAUGACUGACACCAAAGUCCAGAGUGUGAUACUUCUUGUGCUUAAUGCCUGUGCCCUCACCAUCCUGACCCUGGGACUGCUUGCUCAGCUGUACUGCAGAAGCUGACAGGUGAAAGCCACCUUCCUUGGAACAAAAACUGCCUUCUGGAUGAUCAGGAUUAAGCUACAGGGAAAAUGAGUGCUUCUGGUCUGUUCUCUGACAAUGCAUCAAGAUCACAGAACCAUCACAGAAUUAGAGUGAUCUGGGUUGGAAGAGACCUUAAAGAACACCUAGCUCCAGCUCCCCUACCAUGGGCAGGGAUACCUUCCACUAGAUCAGGUUGCUCCAAACCCCAUCCAACCUACCUUGAACACUUCCAUGGAUAAAACAUCAAUAGCUUCUCUGACCAGCCUUUUCUGAAUUAAGGCCUCAGCCCCAUUGCUUCAAUGAGCCUAGAUGGGUUUUACUGCUGGGAUCAGCUGCCAGAACUCUGGAGAAUUUGGAGGUUGACACUUGGAAUGGUGAUGCCUCAAAAACAAAAUGCGGAAAGAGACUACUUGCUGGAAGAAAACACAGUUCCUUGAAACAGUGCACACAAGACCACCUGAGCUUCUCCCAAGGACCCAGAAAGCUGGUCUUGUGACCAGCUGCCUUAAAUCUGUGGUGUCUCUGUGGUGUCCUAUGGGAACAAGCAGCUGAGAACCCGGCAUCUUAGUCUUGUUAUCAGAAGUAUACAGAUGGCUGCUAAACAGAGCUUCCUGUGUAUUUAACUUUGAUACUGUAAUGGCUGAGCAUGAAUUUCAUAUGAAAAGCAAACUUUCUAUACAUCACUAGUGUACAGCUUGAGAGACAACAGCAGUGGAGAUGGCCCAGCGUGACUGCCCUGACUCCUGCGGGAGCUGCGCCUGUUCUGUACCAGAUGUUCUCUGCAGGGGAUUCUUGGAUGCUUUCUACAACACAGUCACAAAUGUACUGACUGUCAGAGCCUUCCCAGCUCCCAUGGGGCCCGUGUUUUCCCAAGGAAGCAGGAACAGCAACACCAAAAUUCUCACCAUAGUUAUUCUAAACUCCAAGGAGAGGAGCAACAUAAAAUGUGAGAGUACAUGUUAAAGAUUUGCAUCACGGUAGUGUGGUGAUGCUGAAACAGACUGUUGGCUGGAAUAACCUGCCCACCCUAUGGAGCAUUACAUAAAUGCUUUCAAAAAUAGACUUGUUGUUCCUCAGAUCUCCAAGCUGAGGCCCUGGAUCUUACUGUCUGAGUGAGAUCUGACUCAGAGAGAAUGAGAUUCACUAAUGAGUACUUACAGCUGCAACCACAACUAAUGACAGCUGCAUUUUAAAUUUCAAGAUAAAAUGUGAAGUACUCUGAAAAAUCAAGUAUUGAAGACCUAAAGGUGGAUUGAGAACAUUCAAAUACAAAAGACCUUCAAUUGGACACCCAGUAAUGAGUUGCAAGAAAAAAACUCCAAGGAUGGCACGAAAGAAAACACUUCCAAAGCUGAGAUUUGACAGCAUAACAGAAGAAGACAAUUGCACCCGACCAUCUUGAAACCCCUGUGGACACCUAGAAAGUUCAGCAACAGAAAGAAGCAAGAGGAGAUGAGUGUUUGCAGGUCUGUCUUGCAGUCACGGCAAUGAGAAGGAACUAAGUGGCAUUCACACCUCAGCAUUUUUUUGCUAUAGGGUAGAAAACAUGCUGACAUUCAUUUGCACAUAGUCCUAGAAGAUGCAGCUGGCCAAAAGAUUUCAGCCUGAAGGAAACCCUGUGCAACACUUUUGGGAGAAAGUCAUCACUCAGGAAAAAACUGCUUCUCAGAUGAUAUCACAGUCAGUCUUUAUUGCCUAUUGUUCAGAGAUAAAUAGCCGGUUUUCUCUAAUGAGAAGUGAUAAGUGACUUUCAGGGCUUUCCCCAGGAAAGGAAAGGAUUUCAGAAGGAAAAGCUAAGUCAUCUGCCUUUCCCUGGAUAUAUUUUGUAAGCAAGUCAGACUACAUUCUUAAGAUUUUUAAAACAUUUUUAUUAAUUUUUAUUCCUUUUGACAUGUUUUUAUAGUAAAAGAACAGAGAAUACCA